UGAAAAUAAGGUUUCCAGGGUGCACAAUCUCAGUACAUUUAACUUGGAAAUCCGAAGAUAAAAUACUGCAAUAUAACGGAGCACCUUAAAUCUAUUUUGAUAAUAAAAAACAGACUAAUUUUGUUUUUAGUAGUAUUAUAUUUGUUAUAUAUGCCAACGCGCAGUAACAGAUGGCUGUUUUACCAAUAAAAAAUUACUAGUUCAAUUAAUAUACGAUAGAUGCCGCUAUUUAGUAGCUCUUCUUGUAGUGUUUUUUUUUUGUGUAUUUGUUGAAUGAAACCUUUUUUCAACUCUGAUUUACUUCUUUUUAAUUGUCACUUGUAAUUCGAUGUCAGUUCAAUAAGUAAAAUGUCUAUUACAUUUAUUUAUCGUUAAAGUACUCUGUAUUAUCGUUUAAUUGAAAAUACUCAACAGUAUUUAGGUAGGUGCAGUCCUGAUUGUAAAGAAAGAGGAGGUAUGCAUCAAGUACUACAACUUGUACAACUGAUGUCACUGAUGUUUAUGUAUGAUUUCUCAUCUCAAUACGUACCGCGUAACACCGUAGGAUAUAUGAAAUAUGAGAUUGUAUAAAAUGUGAUUGUUGAUACUUAUAAUAUACUUGUUAACUAUGUGAA